rnacentral:lncRNA from 1 species
GGCACUGGAUAACUAGCCCACUGCUGGAGUCAUCAGCAUGAUCUCCGGACGACUGGAUGGGGGAUGACUGCCGAGGAAGAGUCGACGAAGAGGCUGCACUGGGACAAUGUAAUCAUCUUCACAGAUGAGGAUGCUCGGAGAAUCCAAACUCCUCAUGAUGACGCUGUUGUUGUCUCGGCAACCAUAGCAAACUAUGAUGUAAAGAGAAUUUUUGUUGAUAAUGG